rnacentral:rRNA from 3 species
UGGGGAAUUUUGCACAAUGGAGGGAACUCUGAUGCAGCGACGCCGCGUGAACGAAGAAGGCUUUCGAGUCGUAAAGUUCUUUUAUAUGGGAAGAUAAUGACGGUACCAUAAGAAAAAGCCCCGGCUAACUACGUGCCAGCAGCCGCGGUAAUACGUAGGGGGCUAGCGUUGUCCGGAAUCACUGGGCGUAAAGGGUUCGCAGGCGGAAAUGCAAGUCAGGUGUAAAAGGCAGUAGCUUAACUACUGUAAGCAUUUGAAACUGCAUAUCUUGAGAAGAGUAGAGGUAAGUGGAAUUUUUAGUGUAGCGGUGAAAUGCGUAGAUAUUAAAAAGAAUACCGGUGGCGAAGGCGACUUACUGGGCUCAUUCUGACGCUGAGGAACGAAAGCGUGGGUAGCAAACAGG